UACGUAGGGGGCAAGCGUUGUCCGGAAUUAUUGGGCGUAAAGCGCGUGUAGGCGGUCCGGUAAGUCGGCUGUGAAAUCCCCGGGCUCAACCUGGGAAUGGCAUUUGGGACUGCAAGGCUCGAGUUUGGCAGAGGAGACUGGAAUUCCUGGUGUAGCAGUGAAAUGCGUAGAUAUCAGGAGGAAUACCGAUGGCGAAGGCAGGUCUCUGGGCUGAAACUGACGCUCAUGCACGAAAGCGUGGGGAGCAAACAGG
rnacentral:rRNA from 1 species